rnacentral:rRNA from 1 species
CUUUUGGGUGUGACUGCGUACCUUUUGUAUAAUGGGUCAGCGACUUAUAUUCUGUAGCAAGGUUAACCGAAUAGGGGAGCCGGAGGGAAACCGAGUCUUAAUUGGGCGUUAAGUUGCAGGGUAUAGACCCGAAACCCGGUGAUCUAGCCAUGGGCAGGUUGAAGGUUGGGUAACACUAACUGGAGGACCGAACCGACUAAUGUUGAAAAAUUAGCGGAUGACCUGUGGCUGGGGGUGAAAGGCCAAUCAAACCGGGAGAUAGCUGGUUCUCCCCGAAAGCUAUUUAGGUAGCGCCUCGUGAAUUCAUCUCCGGGGGUAGAGCACUGUUUCGGCUAGGGGGCCAUCCCGGCUUACCAACCCGAUGCAAACUGCGAAUACCGGAGAAUGUUAUCACGGGAGACACACGGCGGGUGCUAACGUCCGUCGUGAAGAGGGAAACAACCCAGACCGCCAGCUAAGGUCCCAAAGUCAUGGUUAAGUGGGAAACGAUGUGGGAAGGCCCAGACAGCCAGGAUGUUGGCUUAGAAGCAGCCAUCAUUUAAAGAAAGCGUAAUAGCUCACUGGUCGAGUCGGCCUGCGCGGAAGAUGUAACGGGGCUAAACCAUGCACCGAAGCUGCGGCAGCGACGCUGAUGCGUUGUUGGGUAGGGGAGCGUUCUGUAAGCCUGCGAAGGUGGCCUGUGAGGGUUGCUGGAGGUAUCAGAAGUGCGAAUGCUGACAUAAGUAACGAUAAAGCGGGUGAAAAGCCCGCUCGCCGGAAGACCAAGGGUUCCUGUCCAACGUUAAUCGGGGCAGGGUGAGUCGACCCCUAAGGCGAGGCCGAAAGGCGUAGUCGAUGGGAAACGGGUUAAUAUUCCCGUACUUGGUGUUACUGCGAAGGGGGGACGGAGAAGGCUAUGUUGGCCGGGCGACGGUUGUCCCGGUUUAAGCGUGUAGGUGUGUGUUCCAGGUAAAUCCGGUUCACUUUAACACUGAGGCGUGACGACGAGGCACUACGGUGCUGAAGCAACAAAUGCCCUGCUUCCAGGAAAAGCCUCUAAGCAUCAGGUAACAUCAAAUCGUACCCCAAACCGACACAGGUGGUCAGGUAGAGAAUACCAAGGCGCUUGAGAGAACUCGGGUGAAGGAACUAGGCAAAAUGGUGCCGUAACUUCGGGAGAAGGCACGCUGACACGUAGGUGAAGUGAUUUACUCACGGAGCUGAAGUCAGUCGAAGAUACCAGCUGGCUGCAACUGUUUAUUAAAAACACAGCACUGUGCAAACACGAAAGUGGACGUAUACGGUGUGACGCCUGCCCGGUGCCGGAAGGUUAAUUGAUGGGGUCAGCGCAAGCGAAGCUCCUGAUCGAAGCCCCGGUAAACGGCGGCCGUAACUAUAACGGUCCUAAGGUAGCGAAAUUCCUUGUCGGGUAAGUUCCGACCUGCACGAAUGGCGUAAUGAUGGCCAGGCUGUCUCCACCCGAGACUCAGUGAAAUUGAACUCGCUGUGAAGAUGCAGUGUACCCGCGGCAAGACGGAAAGACCCCGUGAACCUUUACUAUAGCUUGACACUGAACAUUGAGCCUUGAUGUGUAGGAUAGGUGGGAGGCUUUGAAGCGUGGACGCCAGUCUGCGUGGAGCCGACCUUGAAAUACCACCCUUUAAUGUUUGAUGUUCUAACGUGGACCCGUUACCCGGGUUGCGGACAGUGUCUGGUGGGUAGUUUGACUGGGGCGGUCUCCUCCUAAAGAGUAACGGAGGAGCACGAAGGUUGGCUAAUCCUGGUCGGACAUCAGGAGGUUAGUGCAAUGGCAUAAGCCAGCUUGACUGCGAGCGUGACGGCGCGAGCAGGUGCGAAAGCAGGUCAUAGUGAUCCGGUGGUUCUGAAUGGAAGGGCCAUCGCUCAACGGAUAAAAGGUACUCCGGGGAUAACAGGCUGAUACCGCCCAAGAGUUCAUAUCGACGGCGGUGUUUGGCACCUCGAUGUCGGCUCAUCACAUCCUGGGGCUGAAGUAGGUCCCAAGGGUAUGGCUGUUCGCCAUUUAAAGUGGUACGCGAGCUGGGUUUAGAACGUCGUGAGACAGUUCGGUCCCUAUCUGCCGUGGGCGCUGGAGAACUGAGGGGGGCUGCUCCUAGUACGAGAGGACCGGAGUGGACGCAUCACUGGUGUUCGGGUUGUCAUGCCAAUGGCACUGCCCGGUAGCUAAAUGCGGAAGAGAUAAGUGCUGAAAGCAUCUAAGCACGAAACUUGCCCCGAGAUGAGUUCUCCCUGAGACUUA